rnacentral:tRNA from 1 species
UGCCCGGUGGUGUAACUGGUAACACACGAGACUUUGGAUCUCGCUAUCCAGGUUCGAGCCCUGGCUGGGCAG